rnacentral:rRNA from 1 species
GAUGAACGCUGGCGGCGUGCCUAAUACAUGCAAGUCGAGCGAACUGAUUAGAAGCUUGCUUCUAAGACGUUAGCGGCGGACGGGUGAGUAACACGUGGGCAACCUGCCUGUAAGACUGGGAUAACUUCGGGAAACCGAAGCUAAUACCGGAUAGGAUCUUCUCCUUCAUGGGAGAUGAUUGAAAGAUGGUUUCGGCUAUCACUUACAGAUGGGCCCGCGGUGCAUUAGCUAGUUGGUGAGGUAACGGCUCACCAAGGCAACGAUGCAUAGCCGACCUGAGAGGGUGAUCGGCCACACUGGGACUGAGACACGGCCCAGACUCCUACGGGAGGCAGCAGUAGGGAGUCUUCCGCAAUGGACGAAAGUCUGACGGAGCAACGCCGCGUGAGUGAUGAAGGCUUUCGGGUCGUAAAACUCUGUUGUUAGGGAAGAACAAGUACGAGAGUAACUGCUCGUACCUUGACGGUACCUAACCAGAAAGCCACGGCUAACUACGUGCCAGCAGCCGCGGUAA